CGCACGAGCAAACAAAACAACUCUCCACCCGAACCACGACGAUGAGAUCGGUCGCCGCCGUGUCGCUGCUGGUGCUGGUGUUGGCAGGCCUGAGCGCCUGCAGGGCUCCCGUGGGCGGAUCCAGCCCCGUCACGUACCUGCUGAGGUUCGAGGUCGAGGAGGGCGUGCCGACCCGAGGGGGCGGCCUGAUCACGGCCGCCAACAGGUCCCUGGAGGCGGCGGGGGCGGCGCGCGCAGCCCGCCCCCAGGAGGAGUCCUAGCGACCUGCAGCAGGGCAAGGGAGGGCCGCCGGUCGCAAGCAGUCGUCUUCCCUCCGUGACACGAGGACUCGAGGAUGUACCUAUCUACAAGUGACGCACGUCAUGUAAAAAAAAAAAAACAGAAAAUAAGCGAUUAACGACAAUACAGGCCCGUCUGCAACUGCAAUGUCCUAAGCUAAGUCCGACGGACAGCGAUCAGUGUCCGACCAGAGACCCGGAAAAAUUCGCGGGUUCAAUGACCUCCAGUAUAGACUCCCAUAUCCUCUACACACUCGGGCAAAUGCCAACUGUUCAUUGGCUGCUGACUUGUGAGUCGUCUCGACUGGGUGGCCUGUGAUUCGGCACUUCUAUGAGUGAGGGUCUCUAAUUGGCCCUCAGUCCUCCAGAUUAACAGUGGACCAAUGGCAGAAGCAGCACUAAGGUAUACUUAUAUGAAUAUUUAGCAUUACACGAAAUGAACCCGUGGAUUUUUCAGGUCUCUACUGAUCGCAGAUUGGUCCACGCGACCCUCUGACGUCAUGCGUGGCUCUGUGCGAUGGUCCGAAUACAAUAGUAAACUUUAUGCCCCAAUGUGCGUGUCCUUCCGUAGCGUAGAACAACGACAGAACACUAGACAUGUUUCGAGUUUCCGGUUCCCGUUCGAAAAAAAAAAACACGUGCAUGAAAACGAUAAACAGAAUAAACAAUCGGAAAUUUUUUUUUUACUGCGCUGUAGUGACUACUUUUUGGAUUCAGGGCAUCGGACAUCACAAUUGUAGACUUGGAAGUUUUCCGUCUGACAUUAGGAUAAGGAUACGGAUCACCCACAGGUUCUGACUUUAGUAUAAGGGCCUUUUGAAACAGAAAUGAAAGUAUCACCCGAUAUUUCUUUGGUGUUAUGGAAGAGAGGGUUAAGUCAAAAACAUCAAAUUUUAAGAGAGGUGGAAGAAAGUCAAGGAUUAUUUGAAGGAUAUGCCUUCUGACACUUUAUAUGGUUUGUAGCCUUGUGUUGUCUGUAUAAGAUAUCAAUAAUUAAUAAUAUAAAAUUAAUAUUUUAUCGAAACAAAAAAAUUAGACUUUCUUUCACCUCUCUUAAAAUUUGAUGUUUUUGACUUAACACUCUCUUCCAUAACACCACAGAUUUUUUCUUUUCCCAGCAUAGCUUCCAUGCGUGUUUGACGCAUUCGUCCCGACGAUGGAAACCCGUCAUGUCUCGCACGGCCCGUUUGAGGUAGACGUCAGAGUCAAGAUUCAUCCCGCUGAGGAACUUCUGCAUGGGCGUCAGGCCUGAGCUGUAGCGAAGCUGCUCCGAAAAUUCACCAACCCCCGUAUUCACGAAUUGGUGCGGCAAAUGCAGCAUUUUCUGAAAAAACUUCCACCAAUUCCGAAUGGAUCUAUCCAACUUUCUUUCCUUUAGCAAAAAAAAAAAAAAAAAAAAAUCUCAUUCACAGCUUGUCGCUCCUUCACAGUUGACGAUGUAAUCACUAGCGCCAUUUUACGGGUCGUUACCACAACGCCGAAAUACCAUAACGCCGAAUAUCAAAAUUGACCACAACGCCGACAGCUAGAAAACUGCUGUGUUCCACAACGCCGAAAUAACAACUGAAUGAAUUUGUGUGUGUUUCUUAAAUGUACCUUAACGCCGAAAUACCACUAUCAAACCUAACCUUACCUAAUCUGACCUAACCUAGCGUAAUAUAACCUAACCUUACUUAACCUAGCCUAUCCUAGCCUAUCCUAGCCUAUCCUAGCCUAUCCUCGCCUAACCUAACCUAACCUUUGUGGCAGUCCUGCAAUGACAUUUUACGGCGUUAGUGUUUUUGGCUUUGUGGCGCGUCCCCCCAUUUUACCGGUGACUGACGAACGCUAUCGGUACGUGGAAUCACGAUAUAUUGGACUGCGCCCAGACAGAGUAGCACCCUCUAGGUCCCUUUUUUUAAGUAAAUAAUUUCUUUUCUACUCAUUAUUUUCGUCUUUAAAAAUUGACAUGUGCGUUACUUAUUGAUAUACCCUCAUAUUUUCUUUUAGGGGUGGUUUUUACCAACAUAUGGACGUAGAUUCGAUGAACAGUGAUUUCGUUCAAUGUCCAAGUUUAUCUGGAUUCAUCAAACGAACCAUGAUGCUGUCACAGUUUAAUGGCUGUAUUAUUUUGAAACUUUAUAAAACUACAACAGGAGUAAACAUCAAGGAUAUAACGGAAAAUUUUAUGACUUAAUUUUUUUUCCAAUUCAUGCUUAAAUUAGUAAAACAAAAUCACCAAAAUGUAACAUUUUAUGUAUUAUAAUUUUAUUUUCGGAUGAAGUGCUAUUACAAACAUAUUUUAUAUCAGGUAAUACAACCUUUGUCGUUUUAUUUCUUUAUAAACAAAAACAUCAUUUAUCUAAAAUGGAUAUGGUAUGUGCUUUUGUCAAUGUAUAAUACACAAAUCUGCCUUAUAAUGUAUCUUAAUUUUAAAAAUAAAUAAAAUAACAAUAUAAGGAAUCACUUUAUAAGAAACAUAUCAGUUGUAUGGAAUUGUUGGUUAAAGUAUGUUCUUUGUAUGUUAUGUAAAUAGAAGGCAAUGCCAAAAUGUAUGUAAAUAUUUUAAUUCCUGUAACCAAGAAUGCCAUCAUAUACAUGGAAUUAAAAAAAACUUAGUGAGGAAAUUAAUCUGUUAAAUCACACUCACAAAUCAUAUAAAAUUGUGAAAGUAUAAAUAAAGUAAGAAUAAAAUAACAAUUGCGUUGUUUUAUGGAACAGAAAAUACACAUUAUUGUUUAAAA